CUCCAAUUCGACCCCUAGCCAGGGAACCUCCAUGUGCCAUGGGUGCAGCCCUAAAAAGCCAAAAAUAAAAAUAAAAAAUAAUGUUAAAAAUAAAGGAUUGCAUAUGGAGAAUCGAUUGAAGGGAUCUGGAAUGGAAGUGGGAAGGAAGGAGGCUGGAGCAGUGGUCCAGGUAAAGCUGACAGAGUCAGGACUAAGGUGCGGAUGCCGCUGAUGCAGAUGUGUGUGAUUUCAAGGUAUAAUGACAGACUUGGCUGCAUAUGAGAAGUGAGGGAAAGACAGGAAUCAAGGAGAACUCCAGGUUCCUGGCUCUCUGACCAGAUGGGGCUCAGUGCGGUCACCCAGAAGGAGAACAGAUUUGGGGAGCAGGAGAUGCAGAGUUCCUUUUAGAACAUGAUUCAUUUGAGAUGCCAGGGAGAGAGCUGCAUGAAACGAUGAAAUAAGUCUCCAGAGAAAUGAGCCUGGAGCUUGGGGAAGAGGUUUGAGGUAGAGAUAAAAUGGUAUGAGUCUUUCAAUAUCUAAAUGGCGUUUAAAGCCACAGAACCCCGUGAACGAAUGCUAAUCAAGGAGAGAACGCGGGUGGAAAAGCAAGGAGCUGAAUUCUGCCACCAACUAGUGAGCUUGAAAGAGGAACUUGAGCCUCGGAGGAAAUCACAGCUUUGGCCAACAUCUUGCUUUCAGCCUGGUAAGACCCUGGGCACAGAGCCCAGUGAAAAUCUGCCGGACUUCUGACCCACAGAAAGUGUGAUGCAAUAAGCUGUGUGGUAUCAAGCCACUAAGUUUAUGGUUGCGUGUUAUAUGGAAUAGCAAAUGCAGACAGAUGUUUAUCUUGUUUUACUGGGGGAGAUGGAAGAUAUUAGAGAUGUUUGUAAGCUUUUGGGAAAUGAACUUAUUGAGAAGGAAACACUUUGAGCUUAAAAGGGGUAGAAAUUCAGAGUCGGACACACUUGAAAGAAGCAGGGAUAGCUUCUCCAGGAUCUGCAGAAGCAGAGUGAUCCUGUCAGCACAGAAUGGAGGCCGUUUUCACUGCGGAGAGACAAAGGGAGGGGGCCUUUCAUCCACGGGGAACUUGGAAACCAUUUCCAGAAAAGCAGCAGAGGACUUAGUUGAAAGGCUGGACUCCAGCCCGUCCCUCCUCAGCGUUGUGACCUCGGCCAGGCCCGUGAGGCUUAAAGGAGUUAAUGCUCGUUGCAGAAAGCACUGA
rnacentral:lncRNA from 1 species